UACGAAGGGGGGCUAGCGUUGUUCGGAAUUACUGGGCGUAAAGCGCACGUAGGCGGAUACUUAAGUCAGGGGUGAAAUCCCGGGGCUCAACCCCGGAACUGCCUUUGAUACUGGGGUAUCUCGAGUCCGGAAGAGGUGAGUGGAAUUCCGAGUGUAGAGGUGAAAUUCGUAGAUAUUCGGAGGAACACCAGAGGCGAAGGCGGCUCACUGGUCCGGUACUGACGCUGAGGUGCGAAAGCGUGGGGAGCAAACAGG
rnacentral:rRNA from 1 species